GUACAGGAAAUUGUACAAGAUCUUAUAUAGGGAUUUUCAGUAGGGUGAAGUUUUAUCAAACAGUACCGUUACUGGUAAGAAAAGUAAUAGAACCAAAGAGCAAAGUGGAAAAAUAGAGCAGCUUGAUCCUAUUGUUAUUUUAGCAGUAAAAGUUUCAAAAUAUAUAUAUAUAUAUAGUUUUAUCAAUCCAAACUAAAAACAAAUUGUUUUAAAUUGAAGUGUUAUCGGUGCUAGGCUUGAAAUUGAAAGUGAGAAUAGUGCUAAUGGACAAAUUGUUUCUGAUGUCGAUCAACAUGAGCUCUCUUCUCAAGAGGAUUCGCAAAUAUCUGCUAAUAUUGAUCCACCCUCUAAUGAUGAUUUACAACAGCUUCUUGCAGACGAAAAUGUGCAACAGCUUCCUGCUGACGACAAUUUGCAAGAGAUAAUAGAUUUCGAAUUUGUUCCGUUUGAACAAAGGGCAGUAGUAACAGAAGACGUUACAGAAGCGUUACAAGCUUAAAUUAAGUUUUUUCGUUCACUGUUUUAAAAUUUUAUAUUUUGUCAUAGAUUAAAUCAUCUUUGUUUUAUAUUUUGUACUACUAUAUCGACCAUGUUAUAUCACGACAUACAACAAAAAUUGUAUGCAAUACCACAAAAGAUUUUAAGUCUAGUCAAUUAUUAUUUAAGAAUAAAAAAUAAAUGAUUAAAAAAUAUAUUUGCCAUGGAAAAA